GAUUUCCUUCCCAUUGCAACUCCCAAAUCCGGUCCAGCAAGAGGCCUGACGUUGAGUGGCUCCUCAAGCAUUCAGAUGUGUCUGAGCAAACACAAGAGGCAAUCAAAUUACCUGAACACCGGCCACUUCAGAGUGCUCACUUGAGAUGACAGUUUCAGCUUCAAAAGAGAUGGAGGCACUGAGGCUCAGAGAGGUUACAUAACUUGCUCAGGAUUUAUGGCUGUGCAAUGGCCAGAACUCAUUGCAUGGUUCUAUGCAGCAACAAAAGGCCUGAGAAGCAAACCAGAACAGUGGCCAGAUUACCUGCAGAGAGAAAGCCACCUAAGAUGGAGGACUUUGGACGGUGGAGGGGAUGCUGAUGAAUACCCUCCUUCCCAACGACUCCUGGGUCAGCAACAGAACAAGGCAGAGUCUUAGUCUCUCCUGGAACAGGUCCUCCUGAGUGCCACAGAACACGCUCAACGUGACAGCCUCAACAAAAUGAGUUGUUGCGUGGAAAAGCAUCUUUCAGCCCAGAAAAACCAUGGAUUUGGGAGGAAAUACUCUGAGGAGAAAGAACUGGGUCCUGGUUCCCAGGACAGUUUUCAAGUUGCUUUGAAAGGGUGUGAUGGUUUUAAUGCCCUUAAUAGGGGCGUAAGCACCAUGUAAAGAAGUUCAUCAGCAAAGAGAAGCCUAGCAAGUUUCCUGGCUCUGGAAGGGGUGGAGGUCAAGACAGCAAAGAGGUGGAAGGGGUCUUAGGAGUUUUUUGUAAGGGUCUGGAAUUUAACUUAAGUCAUUAGCUAUUGGGCAUUAAAAAGGGGCUUUAUUUUUGCAACAGGAUUUAUGGCCUUUUAUAUGUUUAUUUUUCCUUCACUAUUAGACAUCCAAGG
rnacentral:lncRNA from 1 species